GACCAGGAUUGCUCAGUCAGUAGAGCGUGAGAUUCUGAAUCUCAAGAUUGUGGGUUUGAGCCCCACGUUGGACA